GCAAUAUGUGCCAAGCCAAAACUACCAAAUUCCUCUCCAAUACUGAGAAUGAGGAAAGCCUUCGCUCUUGUUUGCGCUUUCUUAAUCUUGUUCGCUCUUCUCUUCCUCCCUUCCACCGAAGCUCGAGCACUACGUCAGAAAGGACCGAUACGGCCGCCAAGUGGGCGCACAUAUGUACCAGGCUCUCCGCCAGUUAGCCUUACAAGGCCAUGAAACCGAGGAGCUUAACUAAAGCUGCUCAUGAUAGCCAAAUUGCAUCCUAAUAUGAAGUACUAUCCCCAACAUCGUCAUCAUAAACAAACAAAGAAGCGAGUGAAGUCAGUUACUUGAUGGAGCCUCGUUUCCACGCCCAAAAAAUAUUAGGGGUUAUUACUUAUGCAGGAUGUACUUUAUGGUGUAAGACAAUAAAGCAAUGAAAGAGCGUGUCUCAGGUUUCAUCUUCUCUUUUAAA